AACGAACGCUGGCGGCAUGCCUAACACAUGCAAGUCGAACGAGACCUUCGGGUCUAGUGGCGCAGGGGUGCGUAACGCGUGGGAACCUGCCCUUAGGUUCGGAAUAACUCCCCGAAAGGGGUGCUAAUACCGGAUAAUGUCUUCGGACCAAAGAUUUAUCGCCUUUGGAUGGGCCCGCGUUGGAUUAGCUAGUUGGUAGGGUAAAAGCAUACCAUGGCGACGAUCCCUAGCUGGUCUGAGAGGAUGAUCAGCCACACUGGGACUAAGACACGGACCAGAAUCCUACGGGAGGCAGCGGUGGGGAAUAUUGGACAAUGGGCGAAAGCGUGAUACAGCAGUGCCGCGUGAGUGAUGAAGGCCUUAGGGUUGUAAAGCUCUUUUACCCGGGAUGAUAAUGACAGUACCGGGAGAAUAAGCACCGGCUAACUCCGUG
rnacentral:rRNA from 1 species